CCUACGGGAGGCAGCAGUGGGGAAUAUUGCACAAUGGGGGAAACCCUGAUGCAGCGACGCCGCGUGAAGGAAGAAGUAUUUCGGUAUGUAAACUUCUAUCAGCAGGGAAGAAAAUGACGGUACCUGAGUAAGAAGCCCCGGCUAACUACGUGCCAGCAGCCGCGGUAAUACGUAGGGGGCAAGCGUUAUCCGGAUUUACUGGGUGUAAAGGGAGCGUAGACGGCAGUGCAAGUCUGGAGUGAAAGGCGGGGGCUCAACCCCCGGACUGCUCUGGAAACUGUACGGCUGGAGUGCAGGAGAGGUAAGUGGAAUUCCUAGUGUAGCGGUGAAAUGCGUAGAUAUUAGGAGGAACACCAGUGGCGAAGGCGGCUUACUGGACUGUAACUGACGUUGAGGCUCGAAAGCGUGGGGAGCAAACAGGAUUAGAUACCCUUGUAGUC
rnacentral:rRNA from 1 species